GGGUUGCCGCUCAGCGGUAGAGCGCUUGCCUAGCACAUGCAAGACUCUGGGUUCGAUCCUCAGCACCACA
rnacentral:tRNA from 1 species